GAGCGAACGCUGGCGGCGUACUUAACACAUGCAAGUCGAACGAGGAUCAUCGGGUUAGCAAUAAUUCGUGGUCCUAGUGGCGCACGGGUGAGUAACACGUGGGUGACCUGCCCUUGAGCUCGGGAUACCCCCUCCGAAAGGGGGGCGUAAUACCGGAUACGUUCCUCGGUCGAAAGACUGAGGAGGAAAGGUGGCGCAAGCUGCCGCUCUUGGAGGGGCGUCGCGGCCUAUCAGCUAGUUGGCGGGGUAACGGGCCCCACCCAAGGCUAUGACGGGUAGCUGGUCUGAGAGGACGACCAGCCACACGGGGAC
rnacentral:rRNA from 1 species